AACGAACGCUGGCGGCAGGCUUAACACAUGCAAGUCGAGCGCCCCGCAAGGGGAGCGGCAGACGGGUGAGCAACGCGUGGGAAUCUACCCAUCUCUACGGAAUAACGCAUGGAAACGUGUGCUAAUACCGUAUACGUCCUUCGGGAGAAAGAUUUAUCAGAGUUGUAUGAGCCCGCGUUGGAUUAGCUAGUUGGUGGGGUAAAGGCCUACCAAGGCGACGAUCCAUAGCUGGUCUGAGAGGAUGAUCAGCCACACUGGGACUGAGACACGGCCCAGACUCCUACGGGAGGCAGCAGUGGGGAAUAUUGGACAAUGGGCGCAAGCCUGAUCCAGCCAUGCCGCGUGAGUGAUGAAGGCCCUAGGGUUGUAAAGCUCUUUCACCGGUGAAGAUAAUGACGGUAACCGGAGAAGAAGCCCCGGCUAACUUCGUGCCAGCCGCCGCAGUAAUAC
rnacentral:rRNA from 1 species